rnacentral:rRNA from 1 species
GUAGGGAAUAUUGCGCAAUGGGGGAAACCCUGACGCAGCGACGCCGCGUGAGUGAUGAAGGCCUUCGGGUCGUAAAGCUCUGUUGCAGGGGAAUAAAAAAAUGAAGGUACCCUGUGAGGAAGGAUCGGCUAACUUCGUGCCAGCAGCCGCGGUAAGACGAGGGAUCCUAGCGUUGCUCGGAAUCAUUGGGCGUAAAGAGGGCGUAGGUGGCUUGGUAAGUCAGGUGUGAAAGCCCAGGGCUCAACCCUGGAAGUGCAUUUGAUACUGCUGAGCUUGAGUGUCGGAGAGGUUACCGGAAUACCUGGUGUAGCGGUGAAAUACGUAGAUAUCAGGUGGAACACCGGAGGCGAAGGCGGGUAACUGGACGAACACUGACACUGAGGCCCGAAAGCGUGGGGAGCAAACAGGAUUAGAUACCCCGGUAGUCC